GCUUUGCAUAAAGAGAGGGAAGCCUCAGCAACCUAGAAUGCCAACUAAGGUGCUUUUUGAUGUGGUUAUUACAACAAAAAAUGGCUUUUU
ncrna:unclassified sequences SAM-I/IV variant riboswitch